rnacentral:rRNA from 1 species
AUGGAGAACAGUUUCGAGAAAAAUAACAUGCUGAAAGAAUUCUACAUUCCGACCUAUAUCUUCAUGCCAGAGUCCUCGGUGGAGCAAGUUUCUCACAUACCCAGCUGUCCAGUUAUUGUUUUUAUCAACACCCGAAGUGGCGGGCAACUUGGACAUAAUUUACUUGUCACAUAUCGCAAGCUUCUCAAUCAUGCUCAGGUGUUUGAUCUACUUGAUGAAACUCCAGACAAAGUCUUACACAAACUAUACAGCAACGUGGAAAGGCUCAAGCGUGAUGGGGAUACUCUUGCUUCUGAAAUCCUUAGGAGAUUGAGGCUAAUAGUUGCUGGAGGCGAUGGAACAGCCGGUUGGUUGCUUGGAGUUGUAUCUGAUCUCAAGCUAGUUCAUCCACCUCCCGUCGCUACAGUUCCCCUUGGAACUGGAAAUAACCUGCCAUAUUCUUUUGGAUGGGGCAAGAGAAAUCCUGGCACAGAUCGUGAAUCUGUCAUAUCCUUCCUAAAGUUGGUAAAAGAAGCAAGAGAGAUAAACAUUGAUAGCUGGCAUACUGUUAUGAGAAUGAAAUGCCCAAAACGUUCUCCUUGCGAUCCAAUUGCUCCUUCUGAUUUGCCGCAUUCUCUGCAUGCAUUUCACCGUGUGCCAAAGACAGAUCCAGAAGAUAUGGAAUAUUCUUACACAUAUCGUGGAGGGUUUUGGAAUUAUUUCAGUAUGGGAAUGGAUGCACAAGUGUCUUAUGCAUUUCAUUCUCAGAGGAAAUUGCACCCAGAGAAAUUCAAGAAUCAGUUGUCUAAUCAGAAACAGUAUUUGAAGCUGGCAUGCACACAAGGAUGGUUCUGUGCCUCUUUAAGCCAUCCAAUGUCACGGAAUAUUGCUCACCUUGCAAAGGUAAAGAUAAUGAAGAAAUCUGGAAAAUGGGAAACCUUGGAAAUUCCACAGAGUAUCAGGUCCAUUGUCUGUCUCAAUUUACCCAGCUUCUCUGGUGGACUGAAUCCCUGGGGAACACCAAGUAAGAGGAAGCAAAGAAAAAGAGACUUGGUACUGCCUCCACUUGUGGAUGAUGGCCUUCUGGAGAUUGUGGGUUUCAAAGAUGCUUGGCAUGGCCUUGUUUUGUUAUCUCCGAAAGGCCAUGGCACUCGUCUUGCUCAGGCCCAUCGUGUCCGAUUCAAAUUUCACCGGGGUGCAACUGACCAUGCCUACAUGAGAAUCGACGGUGAGCCCUGGAAGCAGCCUCUUCCACAGGAGGAUGACGGCAAGGUGGUCGUGGAGAUAUCCCACGCUGGGCAGGUCAAGAUGCUCGCGACCAAAGACUGUAUAGCUAAAGGCAUCAAUGACUCCCCUGGUAUGGCAACAGCCUGCACAGAUUCCAGCUCCAGCGAUGACUCGGACGAUGACUUCACAGAGGAGCGGAGGAACUUCGGCGCCGCCUUGUCGUUCCGGUACAUGAAUGAUGUGAAAAAAACAGUAGAAGCUUGA